rnacentral:sRNA from 12 species
AAUUUUAAACAAUCUACUAGAUAACCAAGUGCAGAGAGGGUGAUACCUUGCUUGGAUUGUGUACAUAAUUCCCGUUACGCUUUUUGUGAGAUAUUGCAGGAAGAUAAGUAACUCUCUUUUCGGGCAAUCGGAAGAGGUCAUGAAGUGAAAGAAGAUUGAGGGUGUACAUAGUAUAGAGAUUGUGCGUAGUUAGACCAUUAUCAUACGGUGGCGGUGACAAUAGACGCUCUCGGUGAGAGAAUGAUCUGGCAAGGCCUUAUGUAGCAGUAAGAACCAACCCAGAAAUGCUAAAAUAAACCGUUUUGCACUUGAGGCUGAGUGAUUGGCCAAUAACACUAAAGAUAAGUACAAGUAGCCCAAAUGUGCAGAUGAACGAUACUGAUAUUGUUAUGCUUAAAACAAAUAUUCUGAAUAUCGGGUGAAAGUUGGACGUAACCAGUCGUGCCUAGCCAUUAAAUCGCUACGGAAGUUAUAGGGUCGCUCCUUAUGGCUCAGACCGUGGUAGGCUAUCGGUCAAUAAAUUGCGUACAGUCGAAGUAGAGCGAAGGCUCAUUUGAUAGAUUGUUUAAAG